rnacentral:tRNA from 1 species
GUCGGGAUAGCUCAGUUGGGAGAGCAGAGGACUGAAAAUCCUCGUGUCA